UUAUUGCCAUAUUUACCUUUUUUAUGAAUUGUAUGAACGGACAUACAGUUGUAGUGCCACUUGACAUUGUUUUUCUUAUAAAAUAUUCAGUAUAAAUUUCCAAAUCAUUUGUUUUAAAUACAUGAUGAAUCCGUAUUCUACUUUCAAGACCAUAACACAUAUAUAUUUAUUUGUUGCAGAGAUUCAAAUUACCUUCAGAGUUUCCAGUUGUUUGGUACGCCGUUAUUUGUAACAGUACAGCGAUCCAACUGCUCAUACACUGACUUGUACAAUAUAGUACUAGAAAGGAUGUCACGUUUUGUGUAUGUUCCCGGUGAUGAUGAAUCACAAGAUAUCCACAGGAAGUCGCAGAAUGGCAAUAUUGCAGGCUCCGAGUCUUUACAGAAAAUAUUCCAGUUCUCAGUCGUCAAUUCUUAUAGGACUGCAGAAAUGGCCCACAAACUAAAUGAUGAUGGGAACCAUUUGAAGCUAAGUAGCGAAAUGUACAUAGCUGCCAACUGGAGCGAUGGAGCUAAGAAAGAGUUCUACAAUGACAGCGAGGCCGAAUCAUUUGAAAUCCUUAUAGUGACAAAAGAAACAACAAAUAUCGAACAGUUGCUUGAACAGUUCACCGCUACGGAGGAUCUUGAAGAAUCCCUUGCAAGGUAUUGUGAGAAAUGUAAGAAGAAGUUGCCUGUUGCAAAAAAAUUGACCUAUUGUCUCUACCAAACACACUGGUGAUUCACUUAGAUCGAAACGUUUCGGAAAGCGGAAAAGAAGUUUGGAUAGAUUUCCCAACACGAGGUCUUGACUUGGGAAAGUAUGUGAAGAAUGAACCAGAAAACAACUGUUUAUUUGAUCUUAUUGGAGCUAUUAAUUACGGCGAAAACAAAUAUACACUGUACUGCAAAAAUGAUAAGGACAAUACCUGGUACUUUAUAGACAGCACAGGGAUUGCUGAAUCAACAGAGGAAGCUGUUACGUCCAAAGGAGCAUAUGGUCUAGUAUACCGAAGUAGACAAAGAAAAUAAAUGUAAUCAAGAUGACUUCACUAUGCAACAGUCUGACUACGGAAGGCGAUUUAUAACACAGAUUAUCAACAAAAUCGACACUUAAGAAAGCGUUAAAGAAGAAAUUCAAAUAGAACUGUUAAUUUUGGAUCCAUCUUCUGGCGGAAACAGUAAACUUAGUGUUAUACAUUUAACAUUUUACUUGUCAGUGCCACACUUCUGUUACCAACAUCCGAUUGCUGUUUUAACUUGGUAUGAUAAUAUAACACAACAGUUUGGUGAGCAGUACCAUUCCUUUUCAAGGUCAAACGAACGUGAAAGAGUCGAUACGGAAAAGUACUCAACUGCAACAUAACUGAAACCUGUUCAUACAUACACAAUAUCUGAACAGUGUAAGUACGCCUAAAAUACGUACAAUAACCAUCGUACGUUCCACGUUUCCGGUAUGAAUACAAAUCGAUGAGCUGGACAAUCGGUUAAGUGUCUCAAAAUUUUUCUAAACUUUCAAGAACAUGUAUUUUGCAAAUCAAGAUAUUAAGUUGCCAGUCUUCGUAAAAAGAAGUU